CCUACGGGAGGCAGCAGGUAAGAAUAUUCCGCAAUGGGGGGAACCCUGACGGAGCGACGCCGCGUGAACGAAGAAGGCCGGAAGGUUGUAAAGUUCUUUUCUGUCCGAGGAAUAAGUGUAGGAGGAAAUGCCUGCAUGGUGACGGUAGGGCAGGAAUAAGCACCGGCUAAUUACGUGCCAGCAGCCGCGGUAACACGUAAGGUGCGAGCGUUGUUCGGAAUUAUUGGGCGUAAAGGGCAUGCAGGCGGGUCGCCAAGCUUGGUAAGAAAUACCGGGGCUCAACUCCGGAGCUAUAUUGAGAACUGGCGAGCUAGAGUUGCCGAAGGGUAUCCGGAAUUCCGCGUGAAGGGGUGAAAUCUGUAGAUAUGCGGAAGAACACCGAUGGCGAAGGCAGGAUACCGGCGGACGACUGACGCUGAGGUGCGAAGGUGCGGGGAGCAAACAGGAUUAGAUACCCCUGUAGUC
rnacentral:rRNA from 1 species